GCCAUCUCAUCUCAGAAGUUUGUCUCAUGGUAUAACAGAGAUACUUGCUUCCUUCAUAAAGAUUUGUAUAUUGUCAUAGAAAAAAAAAAUGAGAAAUGACUUUUCACAGUGCCUUCUUUAGGACAAAGGCCCAGACAGCCCCUACUUCUUUCCCCAACACUUAAAGGGCCCUGAAGUCUGACCAUGUGCUGUACCCUUUGGGCAGGUUUCCUCAUUCAUCCACUAAGACAGCUUUGUGACAAAGGCACCAUGAGUCCCAAGAUGUCCCAAGAUGAGUCCCAGUCACAGAUGCCCAAGAUCAUGGUGACAGAGCCUGGGUCACCUCUGCAGAAUAAUAUAUGCAACAUUAUCCAGAAAGAGGAGGUUUGCAAAGGAACACUGCAAUAGGAUACUGGCACCAGGUACAUCAUCCACCUUGGGGAUGCCAGGUAUCCCUAUAUUUUUGCAAGUCAAUAAACCUGAUUCGAUCUCAAUUUCCUAUUUUGUAAAACCUGGGAGUGUGAAAAGAACACAAGCAAAAUUUUGGAGGUGAUGAAUACAUUUAGGACUUUGGUUUGGUGAUUAUUAUGAGUUUAUGCAUAGGUCCAAAUUCAAGAAUAUAUAUAUGUUAAACAUGUGCAAUUUUUUGGCAUAUCAAUUAUACCUUGGUAAAGCUAAAACAAACAAGGGACUAUGUUUAAACUAUUAUAGGUAUUUUUGAAAGCAGAGUCCCCAGACAACCUAUAUGCCAUAAGGAACAUGCACUCUCUAAUAGAGGGCCAAUUCUCCUGUUGAGGAUUAAUAAUUGAAGAAGCAGUCCCCAAAUACAUACAGACAGGAAGUGCACAGACUCUUUAAUGGACACUGACUGACUGAGGGCCCCACCAGCAGUAUCAGAACAUGUAGGUUUCCCAUCAUGCUCACCCACUGGACAUACUCCAUAGUUUGUUGUUAUACUUUCCAAUGUGAUGAAUGGAAAAUCUAUUGCCAUCAUUUUUAACUGCAUAUCAAGGUUAUUGAAAAUAAAUCUUUCCUCCUAUACAAGA